UACGGGGGGGGGCAAGCGUUGUUCGGAAUUACUGGGCGUAAAGGGCUCGUAGGCGGCCAACUAAGUCAGACGUGAAAUCCCUCGGCUUAACCGGGGAACUGCGUCUGAUACUGGUUGGCUUGAAUCCGGGAGAGGGAUGUGGAAUUCCAGGUGUAGCGGUGAAAUGCGUAGAUAUCUGGAGGAACACCGGUGGCGAAGGCGGCAUCCUGGACCGGUAUUGACGCUGAGGAGCGAAAAGCCAGGGGAGCAAACGGG
rnacentral:rRNA from 1 species